UACGUAGGGUGCAAGCGUUGUCCGGAAUUAUUGGGCGUAAAGAGCUCGUAGGCGGUUUGUCGCGUCUGCUGUGAAAACUCGGGGCUUAACCCCGGGCCUGCAGUGGGUACGGGCAGACUAGAGUGCGGUAGGGGAGACUGGAAUUCCUGGUGUAGCGGUGGAAUGCGCAGAUAUCAGGAGGAACACCGGUGGCGAAGGCGGGUCUCUGGGCCGAUACUGACGCUGAGGAGCGAAAGCAUGGGUAGCGAACAGG
rnacentral:rRNA from 1 species